CAGGCCUAACACAUGCAAGUCGAACGCUUUUGGGGCUUCGGCCCCAAGGGAGUGGCGCACGGGUGAGUAGCGCGUGGGAACCUGCCCUGUUGUGGGGGAUAACCGAGGGAAACUUCGGCUAAUACCGCAUGAGCCGGUUGUCUUGAGAGAGAUGGCCGGGAAAGAUUUAUCGCGACAGGAGGGGCCCGCGUCGGAUUAGCUAGUUGGCGGGGUAACGGCCCACCAAGGCGGUGAUCCGUAGCUGGUCUGAGAGGAUGAUCAGCCACACUGGGACUGAGACACGGCCCAGACUCCUACGGGAGGCAGCAGUGGGGAAUAUUGGACAAUGGGCGCAAGCCUGAUCCAGCAAUGCCGCGUGAGUGAUGAAGGCCUUAGGGUUGUAAAGCUCUUUCGCCCGCGACGAUGAUGACGGUAGCGGGAGAAGAAGCCCCGGCUAACUUCGUGCCAGCAGCCGCGGUAAUACA
rnacentral:rRNA from 1 species